GUAUGUUAUAGUUUUACUUUGGAAAAACAUUUUAUGUAUUUCCUUUAAAUAGAAUGUUCCUUGAGUAUUGUUCCUUAUUGACAUUUAUUUCCCCAACUCCUCAUUGGGAGGAUUAUUCAGAUUUUUCUUACACAAGCAAAGAGCCAGGAUGAAUACUUGUAUCAUCAAAAAGAGUUGUCCAAGUUCGUAGGGAAGAAGAGCAUUCUCUGAUCUCAUGAGGGUAAGGGAGCUCCUUUCUUCCAGCAUUACCUGUGUCUACUGCUUGUAAAACUCUAGAUGAAAUAGCGAAGAAUCACUAUACAGAGAGGGAACUCCCAACACACCAAUGAUUUACAUUACCAGGAAAUCUGUAGACUUUAUUGACUCUCAGCAACCUUGGUGGUGUCGUCAUUGAAUGUAUAUAAAUACCCACUACAGAUAGAAGAACAGCGAGGUCUCUCUAAAGCCUUAAGUUGUGGGAGUCUUUUAGGGACCUUUCCAAGACCUUAAAGCAGAGAUGCAAUUAUCCUGUCUAAAUUUUUUCUAUCCCUGUAGAAUAUGACGUGUUGUGGAUAUUUGAUAUAAAAUGAAGGGUUGAAUAAAAUUUAUCUUUUUAUAUAGAAAACAGGAAAGAUAUGUUAAGUUAGCAAUUUGUUUUGUAGUAGGGAACAUAGUAACUAAACCCAUUCUGUUUACAACCUUUUCUGAUUGACACAGCUGGCUUAAGAGAGAAUGUGAGGUCAAGCGAAACACAAAAUUAUGUAGAUUAUUAUUAGAUGAAGUAUUUGUCUUCUACUCCUCAGAAAUAAAAACAUCAAGGCAUUUUUUUGGUGUAAAUGUAGAUGCUAAAAAUUUUGAUAGAGUCUUAAAACAACCUUCUUUACCUAUUUCCCCAAUCUUCCAAAAUACACAAAUGCCCAGAAAGACACAUACAACCAAAAAUACUUGUGAUAUCUUUUGCCAUGCCUAGACUAUACAUUUCAGUUCUAAGGAUGUCCAUUUUCCUGUGGGAGCUCACCUACCCCAGCAUCUGCUUAAUUUCUUGAUAGCUCAUCCUCCUGUUAGUUGCAAAUGGCACAGAUCUACAUGGUGGUCC
rnacentral:lncRNA from 1 species